rnacentral:rRNA from 1 species
AUGGCUCAGGAUGAACGCUGGCGGCAUGCCUAAUACAUGCAAGUCGAACGGGAGUGCUUGCACUCCAGUGGCGAACGGGUGAGUAAUACAUAGGUAACCUGUCCUUAAGACGAGGAUAGCUUCUAGAAAUGGAAGAUAAAACUGGAUAGGACAUCACAAAUCACAUGAUUAGAUGUUUAAAAGAGCAAUCUACUUAAGGAGGGGCCUGUGGCGCAUUAGCCAGAUGGCGGGGUAAUGGCCCACCAUAGCGAUGAUGCGUAGCCGGUCUGAGAGGACGAACGGCCACAUUGGGACUGAGACACGGCCCAGACUCCUACGGGAGGCAGCAGUAGGGAAUUUUCGGCAAUGGGCGGAAGCCUGACCGAAGCAAUGCCGCGUGAAUGAAGAAGUAUUUCGGUAUGUAAAGUUCUUUUAUUUGGGACGAAAAAACAAAUUGACGGUACCAAAUGAAUAAGCCCCGGCUAACUAUGUGCCAGCAGCAGC